rnacentral:rRNA from 1 species
AGUGAACGCUGGCGGCGUGCUUAACACAUGCAAGUCGAACGAGAACGGGUUAUAGCUUGCUAUAAUUGUCAGCUAAGUGGCGCACGGGUGAGUAAUGUAUAGGUAAUAUGCCUCUUACUAAGGGAUAACAAAUGGAAACGUUUGCUAAUACCUUAUACUCCUUAUUAACAGAAGUUAAUAAGGGAAAGAUUUAUUGGUAAGAGAUUAGCCUGGAUUGUAUCAGUUAGUUGGUGAGGUAAUGGCUUACCAAGACUAUGACACAUAACUGGUUUGGGAGGAUGAUCAGUGACACUGGAACUGAGACACGGUCCAGACUCCUACGGGAGGCAGCAGUGGGGAAUAUUGCACAAUGGACGAAAGUCUGAUGCAGCAACGCCGCGUGGAGGAUGACACAUUUCGGUGCGUAAACUCCUUUUAUAUGUGAAGAUAAUGACGGUAUUAUAUGAAUAAGCACCGGCUAACUCCGUGCCAGCCGCCGCAGUAA